UGACUCAUCUCUCUUGCCUUGAACUUGUUAAUACUAGUAGCUUCCAUGCUUAUAAAUAAUCUCACAUAUUAUUUGACCUUAGUAAGUAUCAAGUCGACCUCUCGUCUCUACUUCUUCGAGGUUAGGCGGGAUACUUACUGGGUACAUGAUGUUUAUGUACUUAUGCUACACUUAUGUACUUAAAUGUACAUGAUCUGAGGCAGGUGGAUCUGGUUACUAUUCGGGCGCGCCUCAGUGAGAUACCUUGGACUUCUACGGUGAGCUGCCUCCUUUCAUUGACGAUCUGCAGCCGAAUAAGUCAUCUCUGUACUUUUGCUUUCUGUCUAUCCUGAUUCAGACAGUAGGAUAGUAUAUUAUUCAUUUUGUAUAUUCUCUACUAGUUGCCCGUAGCUGUGACACCAGGUUCUGGCACACACUUUAGUCGACUAGUUUUUAGGUUGUAAUAGUAUGUCUCCACUUGAUUGCUGUUUCGGGUUCUGGAAACCCCUUUUGGGAUGCUUAUUCCCUUCUUAAAUGUUGAUAUUGAUAAACUUAGAAAUGUUUUCCGCAAUUGGCUUGCUCGGCAAGGUAGUUGGGCGCCAUCAUGACCUGUUGUGGAAAUGGGUCGUGACAAUAAUUAAAACAACACAAGAAUUCAUAGUCAUUGAUGGAAGAACAAUUUAGAGAGAUGAGAAAUUAUGUUUUUCAAGUUUCCUCCUUACCUCUCUUCCUUGUUCUCAAAACUCGAACUCCUCUUAUUUCUUGGAAAUGUUAAGCUUUUUAUAGUUUGUGUAGAUUUGCUUGUACUUCCGAACUUGCCCUUUUAAAAUUGGGCGCGCUAAGUCCGCGCUACUGCCCGCGCUAUUGGGGUUUCAUACUGUUUUGGACUGCUGGACUAGCGCGGGCGCGCUAAGGCCACGCUAAUUCCGGCACUAGUGUGGUUUUCCACUGCCAACGAGCUUUUGCUCCUUUUUUCGUCCAUUAAUUCAUAUUUUUGCCCGGAUCACCAUCAUAAGUCCUCAUUUGAUUAUUGCACUCCUGUGAAACACUAAAUUCACCAUUAGAGCCAAUAUUUUCAUUAUCUAUACACUUACAACAGUAAAACAUCCUUAAGUUAGAGCCCGAACGUAGGCCAAACUAUACAAUUUGGCCUAUUAUCAGCAGCCAAACACAGUGCAGUCGUUAAUGGGAUGAUGUUCUCAACAAAACUACAAACAGAUCUGAACAUGCUAAAAGGACUCCUGUAAUCGUUGUUGCGCUCAACAAAACUGCUAACAAAUUUUAAGAGUCAUGGCCUUGAGGAGGAAAGCAAACAAGCAGGGGCAUUAAUUACACUUGCUGUUGCUAAAACAUGUGCUUCUUUUAUCUUGUCAUUAAUCCUUUCUCCUCCAACCAACACAAACGGAAUGUCAAUAAACCCUUUCAAUAUGCCUUGGCAAUGUUAAUGACACAUUGAAGUUUGAUAUACCCUUGGUUCUUUCACCCCAGUUUUUUUCUAUUAUGUAUACAUGUGUUUAGAAGAAAAAUUAGCAAUUCCAUCUCUGUGUGUCAUAUAGUCACCGACUUGCCACAUAAUUACACAUUUUUUCCUGACCAUUUGAAUGAUGAUUAGAGACUCUGAUUCAACACAAACAUUGUGAAAUCCAUUAUCUAUAUAAGCACCAUCUUAUUCCAGCCACCAUUUUUUUUAAAUUUCUUUAACAUUAACGGUUAUUACCAAUGCGAUAAUAAGAUAAAUAUGCAUUCUUUUCUGCAUUGGGUGUGAAUAAAGUAGCAUUGGAUAUUUUUAUUUUUUUUAAAUUUACAUUUUACUUUUUAACUGUGACUUGUUUAUUCACAUGUAGAAACCAUGAAGAAGAAAAUGUGGCUCGCUAUGAAACCUUAUGCUCCAAAAAAGAUCAUUGCAGUAGGUAUCAAAGAAAUAUUUUUUACAACCUUCAAAGCCUACCACUAGAAAAGCAAAUGCAGAGGCUUCACAAUCUGACAUUAGAAAACAAAUGGUCACAAGAAUAGGUUUUUCAGGAACUAAUCGAUGAAGAUCAAAGGAACACCACAUCUAAACACAUAUUGUUACAGAUUAUGAGGCAAAUUUAAUCCCUACAAACUUGUUUGAUUCUUAAAUCUAAAUAUUCCAGCAAGCAAACAAAUAGCAGAGGUACUGCAAGAAGACUCGCCAUAAAAGGCGUCGAUGUAACUAUAAAUAUGAAAAAUAUACAUGUAAUCUAAGAAAAAAUCCAAUAUUUGAAAAGCAGAGAGAUUAACAAAACGACCCAAUUUCACAAUAGUUCUAGCUACAAGUUUAGCGACUUAAGUUUACCUUAGCUUGGCAAGAAGGAAAACGGAACACAGCUAUUAACGUUGACACAGAUUCACCACAAAGCACACAAAUUAUAAGUAUGUACAGCAAGAAGACUAAAUCUUUUGUGAUUAUUUGUUGCAUUUUGCUCUUAUAUACAGUGUGAAUCACUUGAGAACAACUUCGUCUCUGAUCGAGUAGCGGGCAAUUGUAGCGAGUGCCCUAUUUGUUCGUGAUUCUCUUCCUCUUCUUUGCUGAAUUUGGUGUACGUGUUUUGGGAUAACAUUAGAGUGAGAGAUUGUAGGGAUUUUUUGAUUAAUUUGGGGGAUAUGGUGAACUGUUGGUUGAGAAAAAAAUGAGGGAAUAAUUAGAGCUUUAUUUUUCAUUUUGUUCAGAUUUAAUGAG
rnacentral:lncRNA from 1 species